GCCAGCGGCGAUAGGAGCGUUUGGAGAAUACACCAGUGCCUAAUGCGUCCCUGAAGUUAAGCACCUUGAGCGCUGGGUUGGUAUCCGGAUGGGGUUUGACCAUCUGGACAAUCCGCGCGCUGCUGGCU
rnacentral:rRNA from 1 species